rnacentral:rRNA from 1 species
AGAGCGAACGCUGGCGGCAGGCCUAAUACAUGCAAGUCGAACGGAUCCUUCGGGAUUAGUGGCGGACGGGUGAGUAACACGUGGGAACGUGCCCUUUGGUUCGGAACAACUCAGGGAAACUUGAGCUAAUACCGGAUAAGCCCUUCGGGGGAAAGAUUUAUCGCCAUUGGAGCGGCCCGCGUCUGAUUAGCUAGUUGGUGGGGUAAAGGCCUACCAAGGCUACGAUCAGUAGCUGGUCUGAGAGGAUGAUCAGCCACACUGGGACUGAGACACGGCCCAGACUCCUACGGGAGGCAGCAGUAGGGAAUCUUGCGCAAUGGGCGAAAGCCUGACGCAGCCAUGCCGCGUGAAUGAUGAAGGUCUUAGGAUUGUAAAAUUCUUUCAGCGGGGACGAUAAUGACGGUACCCGCAGAAGAAGCCCCGGCUAACUUCGUGCCAGCAGCCGC